CCUUUGUGUUAACUUUGAUCCUAUCUAGCUUCUGGUUGUUGUUUUAUUUCUGUCUUUAAUUGUGCAAGUAUCAUAAUCUGAUCCCUGUUUUUUUAGUUCUAUAUAUAAAAAAAAGUGUGUCAAAAAAAAGAAAAGAAAGUGCAAAGAAAAAGUGAAGUGAAAAAAAAGUUGAGAAAGGUUCAGAGAGAAAGUCUGAAAGAUUAGUUGGUUUAUGUGCACAAGUGCUGAAAGUUUCAUAUCAAGUUCUGCAACCAGUUUGCUAUCUUUGUUUGGUGCAAAGCUUUGGUUG
rnacentral:lncRNA from 1 species